rnacentral:rRNA from 1 species
AACGAACGCUGGCGGCAUGCCUAACACAUGCAAGUCGAACGAAGGCUUCGGCCUUAGUGGCACACGGGUGCGUAACGCGUGGGAAUCUGCCCCUUGGUUCGGGAUAACAGUUGGAAACGACUGCUAAUACCGGAUGAUAUCGCGAGAUCAAAGAUUUAUCGCCAGGGGAUGAGCCCGCGUCGGAUUAGCUAGUUGGUGGGGUAAGGCCUACCAAGGCGACGAUCCGUAGCUGGUCUGAGAGGAUGAUCAGCCACACUGGGACUGAGACACGGCCCAGACUCCUACGGGAGGCAGCAGUGGGGAAUAUUGGACAAUGGGCGAAAGCCUGAUCCAGCAAUGCCGCGUGAGUGAUGAAGGCCUUAGGGUUGUAAAGCUCUUUUACCCGGGAUGAUAAUGACAGUACCGGGAGAAUAAGCCCCGGCUAACUCCGUGCCAGCCGCCGCAGUAA